AAUAAAAUGGCUGAGUUUAUAAGCGAUAAAUUGUAAAUUUAUUAACGAGAAUUAAUCUCUUUUAUUAAAGUC
rnacentral:tRNA from 1 species